rnacentral:rRNA from 1 species
GAUGAACGCUAGCGACAGGCCUAACACAUGCAAGUCGAGGGGCAGCACGGUGUAGCAAUACACGGGUGGCGACCGGCGCACGGGUGAGUAACGCGUAUGCAACCUGCCUACUACAAGGGGAUAACCCGUUGAAAGACGGACUAAUACCCUAUAACACAGGGAAUCCGCAUGGAUAUAUUUGUUAAAGAUUUAUCGGUAGUAGAUGGGCAUGCGUUCCAUUAGCUUGUUGGUGAGGUAACGGCUCACCAAGGCAACGAUGGAUAGGGGAACUGAGAGGUUGAUCCCCCACACUGGAACUGAGACACGGUCCAGACUCCUACGGGAGGCAGCAGUGAGGAAUAUUGGUCAAUGGACGAGAGUCUGAACCAGCCAAAGUCGCGUGAAGGAAGACGGCCCUACGGGUUGUAAAACUUCUUUUGUAAAGGGAAUAAAUAGUCUUACGCGCUAAAGACGUUGCAGGUACCUUACGAAUAAGGAUCGGCUAACUCCGUGCCAGCAGCCGCGGUAAAAGUCACG